rnacentral:lncRNA from 1 species
UUCUCCACCUCUCCCUUCUUUGCUAUCUUCUCUUUUCCAGAUCCAAUCCUUCUAUUCUCUUCUCUUCUCUCUUCUCUUUUAUUCAACAAAAACACAUUGAAUGGUCACUUUUGUUCUAUUCUCUCUCUUCUCUUUUCCGGAAUUCUCUCUCUUUCAACCAUAACCAUUUUUCCGGCAGACAAAUUCUCACCGGCUGUGCUCCGGUGACUCUUUUCCUUUGUGGAUCUCGCUCUUCCCCGUCGUCCUUGAACGUUGCAUCUCUUCUGCUCCUCCUUCCUCUCCCUCUGUUUCGUUCUGACGGGGCUGGGGUUUGGUGGUGGUGUUUUGCUCCAGUGUUUUCCGGCGCGGUGGUUGGCUUGGUGGUGGUUGGCUCUCUCCACAAGAAUCAAGAGAAGGGAAUAGAAGAGGAAAAGGAAGGAGGAGAAAAUUGACAUUGACUUGGCUAAGAUAGCUGUUGUUAAAAGGAGGAUUGAGUGAGCAAUGGUGCAAAAGAGAGGAUAGAAUGAAACCAAUUUUGAACCUAAAUUAUAGGCUAGUAGUAUUUUGGAAAGCUUAUUGAAUUAAGUAGAAAAAUUAUCAAUAUGUCGUGUUAUUUCUGUAAGUGUAUUUGAAUCCUAAAAAGUGCUUAUCUCAUUUCUGUAAGGGGCUUCGAAAUUGUUGCUGGAAAAAGAGAAACAGAGGAAAAGAUAAUUUGGGAAUGCUGGAGAAGAAGAGGAGAAAAUAAUUUUUGAUUUUUUAAUUUAGCAUUAGGGGUACUUUAGGUAUUUCACAUCUUUAGUAUUAUUUAUUGUAAAAAAAUUAUUUUGUGUCCCACGUGGAAAUAAAAAAAAAUAACACAUCAGCGCGCCACCUAAGCUAAUUUAUCCAAUGAGAUGGUUUGGGGGAUGUGAACCAAAGAAUCUACAUUUUACAAGAGGGAAUCUCCAAAAAAAAAUUACAGCGG